CGUGCCCUGAGGGCAGAGCAGCCCUGCUGUGCUUAGAGGGGGCAGCUCGGGGAAUCCUCCACUGUUCCCACUGCAUUUCCAUGGCAGGGGGCAUCACAGCCUUUGGUGACAACACAGUUUCUUUUCCAUCUGCUCAGAAGCCUGCUUCCCUCUCACCAUUUCUUUGCUUCCACCACCACAGCUGAUGCAGUCCCUUUUGAAGCAAUGGGUAUAAGGGAACAACAAACCCAGCAACCAGGCAGCUGCUCUCCGAGGUGCUCUGUGGCCCAAGACUGCAGUAGCAACAUGUUAUUUAAUCCUGGGGCAAAUCCAGCUACUUACUUCAUGGUAGAAGCUUCCAGAUACAUUCUUCUAUUUGGCCUUUAGAGACUUCCUCUGUCUGCACUCUCAUACUGUUUUCAGUAAAGAAUUACCUGCUAGCUAAAUGAACUGGUAAGAGCUGAAGGCUUGUCUGUU